UUCUCCGUUAACACUUUGACUGUGCCCGUGACACCCAUAAUUUUUACGCUAAUUUAUUGAAUCUUCCUGAUUGCAUUGGAAUCCGAAAAACUUGCUAGCACUGCGGUUGCAAUCAAAAUGUCAAGGUAGGAAAGUGUCACGAACGAAUUACGGCUAACCGCAACAUACGACAGAUCUAUGCAACGUCAGUGCAAAGUUUCAUCAAUAAUCGGCGUCUAUCGAUCACCGGGGUUUCCUCAGGAUAGUAAUCGCUGCUGAUUUAACGUGCAACGAUUUCCUCGCAGCUAAAUCAAGCCGAAUUCAAUUGCGAAAUUCUUUCGCAGCGCUUGUAAUCGAUCCCACCGCCUGGCGCCACAACGAAAACGUCGCAUUCCCGCGUUCCAGGUCAACUGCGCCAUGAGCUUCCAAAAGUUCUAUUCUUUUUGUUUACUCGGCCGAUGACUUUCCGUGUACCUAAAUCUCGCCGAACCCGUAUCGCAUGCGUUACGACGCACAGUGGCACGGAUCCCCGAAAACACAUAAUAAAUGAAUAGUAUUGUUAUGUUUACAUCUUUCAUUAUAAAUAAAACAGUUUUAGGGAUAUUUUGGGUUGUAGAAUCCGGUUAUGAUAUUAUCUUUUUAGUACGAUAAAAGAUUA